GCUGAGGCGCGCGCGGGUCCUCGGUUCUCUCCUAGAGUUUCCGUCGCCUCAUGCUCCUUAAUAGACUGACACAAAUUGGGACUGGACUGUGAGCACCUGAGGGCUGUCCUGGGCUUGGAGGGGAGUGGCGCAAAGGACUUUUCUUACAAGCUGAGAUGUAUGUCUUCAAUUCCACGUCCCUGAAGAAACUCCGGAGAGAGGGAAGAAGGAAGGAGGAGAAAAAAAACCUUCCUGUCACGUUGUUUUUUCCUUGCUGGGCUACUGUUGCGUUCCAGUAGGAGUCUUGCUGAACACCUGGCCUGAGCAAUUUAAGAAGGAUUCCUCAGGGCUUUGAAAAAGCCACAAACGAUCCUCACAGUGACACCACCCAGCGAGCUGGCAGACAUU